rnacentral:autocatalytically_spliced_intron from 1 species
AAUACUUCUUUAAAAGUUAGAGAAUUUUUAAUUUCACAUAAUCUUUUGAAUCCCGUAGAGACUGAUUCGAAAGAAGAGACAUCAAAUUAAUUGGUGUAAUACGUCGACGCCUACACAAAAAGCCUAGAAGUAUGGUCAAGUGACCUAAAUUUCAGGAGUAGGAUGAAGAUAUAGUCCGUGCAACUAGUAAUAGUUGA